CUCGCCUGGGAAGGAAAACCCAGAGGGGAACUUUUCUGGGUCGAAGAGAAAUGUGAUUUUUUCGCCUUCCAAACAAUACCCAGAUGAGAAUUUCACAGGGUCAAAGAAAAAUAUGAUGUUCUCGCCAUCCAAACAGACUCCAACUGAGAAAAAGAGCGGUCUGAGAAACCCAAAUUCAGGCUCUCUCUCUUCCCCCUCUUCUGAUUCCUCCGACUUCUCUAUGGAUUCUCGACCGCCCCCUCAGAAAACUGGUUGCUUCUUGUGCUCCCUUAAAAGCCCUUCCAAGAAGAAGAGCAAGAAAAAUCAGAGCUGGAGCAAAAAGGAUGAACUUGUAUCAGAUUUGAGCAUUUUCACAGAGAAAUCACAGAGGAAAAUUCUGAAGAAGGCCAUGAAAGAGGAAGAGAAAAUCAACAGAGAAGCUGAGAAAAUUGUGAAGUGGGCCAAGCAGGCUUCAGCAAGAAUGAAUAUUUCAGACAUUGAAGAUGGGCUGAGUGAUGAUGACAAGUUCAAAUGAGCUCUCUGAGUCAGCUCAUUGAUGCAUUAAUAAGUAAAUUAAAUUUUUUUUUUUGGGUAUAAAAAUUAUGGUAUACAAUUUGGUUCAUAUCGAAAGAGGAUUGGAAAAUUUUAUGUAGUUUGGAUGCUUUGUAAAAGAGUUUUCAUUUGUAUCUCAUAUUAAGGCUUUUUCUUUUUUCUUUUUCUUUUUUGUAAUAUCUUUGUGUGGAUUAAUUACGAGAAGUGAAAAAAUAAAAAAUAAUAAAUCAAGAGCCUCUCAUUUGGUUAACUGGACUGAAACAUCUUAUUACUUAAAAUAGAGUUUUUGAAAAAAUAAUAAAUUGAUCCAAAUUAAGUCCAAAAUCAAUCAUAUUGGUUCGAUUUUUAAUAAUAAAAAUGAUCGAUUCGAUUUGAGAAGAAUUUUAAAAACCGAUUUUAUCUAUUCGAUUUUAAAACUUAUAUAUAAUAAUUUGACAUUUGAUAAAAAAAUUUAUUUUAGAUUCUAUUAAAAUAAUUCAUGGUCAAAUUAAUUUUAAAUACAUUCAAUACGCUUUAACAUCAAAUCCAAGUUAAUUUCAAUUAAUUUUAAAAACAAAUUAGACUUAAAACUUAAUAUAAACACAAAAUUAAUAAGUUUUGGAUUUAAAGCAAACACAAAUUGACAAUUGGGUUGGGGGCUAAAAAAAACAUUAAAUUGGAUCGAAACCGAUCUACGAAAACUGAACCAAAUCGAUCUUAAAAUGUUUGGUUUGGUUUGGUUUUUUACUUCAAAUUUGAGUAAUUCAAUUUCUUUCACAUAUAAAACCAAUUAUAUCAAUUCAAUGCAUUUUUUUACUCAAAAAAUGAUCGAUCCAACCUUAUUUACAUUCCAAAUUAUUACUUCCUUUCAAAUCCAUUAACAUGGCUCUAUAUUUAUGUGAAUUCUAUAAUGAAAUUUUAAAUUUUAGAAAAAAUAAUGAUAAAAAUAAAAAUAAAAAGAUAACUGUAGACCCAAUCCAGCCAAAAGUGUACCCUAUUUCAAUUGGCAUGAUGUUACCUGCCACCCAACUCUUCCCCAAUUGCACAGUCCCCUCCAUCUCCAUUUCUUUUCAAACCUGUCAAAAGAAAAAUGGGUCCAAACACCUCAUCAUCAAGCAAUUUGAGAGACUUAAAAAAAACGCUAACUAUUGUGGAGAUUAUGACCUUACCACCAAUCAACAUACCUCUAGUCUUCUUCAAUAUUGGAUGCUUCUCGUCACUAGUCAAUACUGCUAAAACCCCCUGUUUUCUCCAUAGCUGAGUACCCAGAAGAAUCAUCCAUCAUAUGCCAAGCACACCCUUUCAGAAUUCAGCAAAAAUCAAA
rnacentral:lncRNA from 1 species